ACGCUAAUACCGCAUACGCACUGAGGUGGAAAGCAGGGGAUCGCAAGACCUUGCGCUAUACGAGCGGCCUAUCAGCUAGUUGGUGAGGUAAUGGCUCACCAAGGCGACGACGGGUAGCCGGCCUGAGAGGGUGACCGGCCACACUGGAACUGAGACACGGUCCAGACUCCUACGGGAGGCAGCAGUGGGGAAUAUUGCACAAUGGGCGAAAGCCUGAUGCAGCAACGCCGCGUGAGUGAAGAAGGCCUUCGGGUUGUAAAGCUCUUUCGGCUGGGAAGAAAUCGCACAGGCUAAUACUCUGUGUGGAUGACGGUACCAGCACAAGAAGCACCGGCUAACUACGUG
rnacentral:rRNA from 1 species